UCAGUCCCAACAUUGCCAAAGACUGAAACGACUUCUGCAAGACCAUACCUUGAUCCAGAGUAUUCGUGAUAUAUGAAACAAACUUAAGUAUUGUUAAUUGGGUGUAUACAUCUUCUUGCCCUUAUUACACACUCCAAUAUUCUCAGCAUGCUCAUAAUUAAGCGUUUAACUACUUCCUGAGGAAUUUCAUCACAAAUUUCAACUAAUGUUACUUUUAGCUCAGCUAGAUAGUUAUUUCUUUAUUUUAUCCAAUGUCUAAGCUUGUCCCAAAAGUAAUCAAUGGGAUUCAAAUCAGGGAUACGGAGCUGGUUUCUGGUAAACACUGGACUUGCUGCUGGUUUUCUGGGUGUAGACUCAUUUCUGCAAGCUUCCUUCUUACUGUUUCAGCACUAAUGGACGCAUCCUGCACAGUUCUAAUUCUUUGAGACAUUUCAGAAGCAGUAGAAAAGCAAUGUCUCGGAGUGUGCAAUUUGAUAAAUCGGUCAUCAGCUAGUCCCUUGACUUUUGGGCGUCCUGAUUCUGGUCUCUGAGUUCACCUUGCAAUGAAUGAGCACUGAUACUCGACAACCAUUGUUUUAGAUACGAACAUGUGCCGAAUUGACCCUAUUCACUUCUCAUAGUCCACCGGCAAUUCCAGCUUUGCUAUUUAAGUAAACUGCUGGCAGACUCAGUUGGCAGUCCAGGGCAGACCUAAGUCCUAUUCUUCUAGCCAUUGAGGUUGGGCUCCAGCCUCCAGACUUAUAGGACUACUUAUCGCCUGGAAAACAAACAAUUUAACCCAGUAUAAUCAAGAAUCAAAUAAUGAAAAAGGACAUCUUACAACAGAUGCAAAAUAAUCGUGAGAUGCGGUAUGGUGUGAUGUGGAUUUAGGAAAAUAUUGUCAACGUUUGGAUCAUUAUUGAGAUCACUUCAGGGCCUGGGAUUUAUAAGCAUUGUUUAAAUUACAC